AGAUUGGUCACUGUGAGGAAGCCAAAUCGGAUCCGAGAGUCUUUUUCUAAAGGCCAGUACUGACCACACUUUCUCCUGCCGCCCUCCUCAAAGCUGAAGACACACAGAGCAAGAUGUUGCUAUCACAGAGAAACUCACACGUUUGCAGCAAGACCCUUGCAAGAUGUUCCAGCUCCAAGCGUC